rnacentral:rRNA from 1 species
GACGAACGCUGGCGGCGUGCUUAACACAUGCAAGUCGAACGGUGAAGCGCCUUCCUUUUUGGUGGGUGUGGAUGAGUGGCGAACGGGUGAGUAACACGUGAGUAACCUGCCCCCUUCUUCUGGAUAACCGCAUGAAAGUGUGGCUAAUACGGGAUAUUCUGGGUCUGUCGCAUGAUGGGUCUGGGAAAGAUAUUGUUUCGGUGGGGGAUGGGCUCGCGGCCUAUCAGCUUGUUGGUGGGGUGAUGGCCUACCAAGGCGGUGACGGGUAGCCGGCCUGAGAGGGUGGACGGUCACACUGGGACUGAGACACGGCCCAGACUCCUACGGGAGGCAGCAGGGGGGAAUAGUGCACAAUGGGCGCAAGCCUGAUGCAGCGACGCCGCGUGAGGGAUGGAGGCCUUCGGGUUGUGAACCUCUUUCGCCAGUGAAGCAUGCCUGCCUCGUUUGUGGGUGGGUUGACGGUAGCUGGAUAAGAAGCGCCGGCUAACUACGUG